GCGGGUGUAUCCGAACUGGCAUAGGAGGUGGUCUCAAACACCACUGUCGAAAGGCGUGUGGGUUCAAGUCCCACCACCCGCACCA
rnacentral:tRNA from 1 species